rnacentral:rRNA from 1 species
GUGAGGAAUAUUGGACAAUGGGCGCAAGCCUGAUCCAGCCAUGCCGCGUGCAGGAAGACGCAUCUAUGGUGUGUAAACUGCUUUUGUACGGGAAGAAACACUCCCUCGUGAGGGAGCUUGACGGUACCGUAAGAAUAAGGAUCGGCUAACUCCGUGCCAGCAGCCGCGGUAAUACGGAGGAUCCAAGCGUUAUCCGGAAUCAUUGGGUUUAACGGGUCCGUAGGCGGUUUAAUAAGUCAGUGGUGAAAGCCCAUCGCUCAACGAUGGAACGGCCAUUGAUACUGUUAGACUUGAAUUACAAGGAAGUAACUAGAAUAUGUAGUGUAGCGGUGAAAUGCUUAGAUAUUACAUGGAAUACCAAUUGCGAAGGCAGGUUACUACUUGUGGAUUGACGCUGAUGGACGAAAGCGUGGGGAGCGAACAGGAUUAGAAACCCUAGUAGUCC